rnacentral:rRNA from 1 species
AGUGAACGCUGGCGGUAGGCCUAACACAUGCAAGUUGAACGGCAGCACAGUAAGAGCUUGCUCUUACGGGUGGCGAGUGGCGGACGGGUGAGGAAUACAUCGGAAUCUACUUUUUCGUGGGGGAUAACGUAGGGAAACUUACGCUAAUACCGCAUACGACCUACGGGUGAAAGCAGGGGAUCUUCGGACCUUGCGCGAUUGAAUGAGCCGAUGUCGGAUUAGCUAGUUGGCGGGGUAAAGGCCCACCAAGGCGACGAUCCGUAGCUGGUCUGAGAGGAUGAUCAGCCACACUGGAACUGAGACACGGUCCAGACUCCUACGGGAGGCAGCAGUGGGGAAUAUUGGACAAUGGGCGCAAGCCUGAUCCAGCCAUACCGCGUGGGUGAAGAAGGCCUUCGGGUUGUAAAGCCCUUUUGUUGGGAAAGAAAAGCAGCAGGUUAAUACCCCGCUGUUCUGACGGUACCCAAAGAGUAAGCACCGGCUAACUUCGUG